UCUUUUCUUUUUCCCAUUCUUCUUCCUGUCCUUCCUCCACCCAAGCUCGUCGACCGCAAAUUUCACGCACAGAUGAUGUUACGCACAAGCUUUGGCUGACGUUCCACCACCAGACGUUCACGCACAGACGACAUUCGACCAUCACAGACGACGUUCACGUACAAGCUUUGGCCGCGCCACCACAAGGAUAUCAAUCGACUUGUCGGCGUUCAAGAUCCUGCUGGUUCGGCUGUAAGUCAAGAAAGCAAAGAAGAGGCAGAUUCGCAAUCUGUAUUUGUUGGCAACGUUGAUUAUGCCUAUACACCUGAAGAAGUGCAGCAGCAUUUCCAAUCUUGUGGUACUGUCAACAGGGUUACUAUUCUCACAAAUAAAUUUGGUCAUCCCAAGGGCUUUGCUUAUGUGGAGUUUGUUGAAGCCGAAGCUGUUCAGGAGGCACUUCUUUUAAACGAGACAGAGUUGCAUGGAAGACAAUUGAAGGUAGCUCCUUGGGGAAAGAUGAUUUACGUUUCUAUUCUAUCAAGUAUUGGACAUUGGCAUACUAAUUCUACAUUUUAUUAUUGGCGCCGUUAUCUGUGCAUGUUGUUUGAGUUCUUAUAACUAAUGUUAAAUGGUUUUAAUAUCAUUCUGUUCAUCUCAGGUUCAACAAAAGCGAACAAAGUUAAUGAAUUGGUAUAUUGAUAUAUCUAAGUACAUGGAAUGAAUGUUGGAGAAGGGUGUAAAUUAUUCAUAUCUUACCUCAUUCUCUUUUAUAAAUGACUCACCUUUUCUUCUCCUAAGGGAUUUAUGGACUGAUUAAUCAAAGAAAACUAAAGUGAUGAAGGAGAAAGGGUUGUGCUGAAGCUAAGUAUCACAAGAUGGGAAGGUAAAUAAAGUGUCUAUUGCACCUUUAUGUUCUUGAUCUUGAACCUGUUGUAUUGGGUCAGAAUCUUCUUUCAAUAUCAUAUUGUCCAACUUCAGCAUUGGUUCUUCACUGCACAGUACAAAUGAGUCAAACAUUUUAGAUUUUAUUUUUCAAUUUUGUCAUCAAUUCAUUACAGCCUGAAAAUUUACCAUUAGUCCAAUAUAAUGUUAAUCAAUUUGGUUCUUUGAAAGCAAAUAAAAGUCCAUACUUUGCUUUACCACUUGAAGGUUCCGAAUUAGGACUUAGGCUGUGUAAAGUAGUUUUGAGAUAUUUUACAGUAUGAAAAUCUAUGUCUUUUUUUAAUGUUUUUGCGAUUGUAGAACAAAGUGAAAGCAAGAGUAUAAUAGUUCUAGUAGUUGUGCCAAUCAUAUCAGUAUUAAUCUUCUUGGCUUCGAGCAGCUUUUUUAUCAUUAGAAAUGUAAGAAGAAGAGCUAAAGGUAUGUAAAGCUUUCCUCCUCAUUCUCUUGAAUCAUAAGGUUUUUGUUUCCAUUUUUAUUCAUCUUAAAAUAUCAGCAGAUAAUGAAGUUACUAUAACUGAGCAUCUAAUAAAUGAGAGUCUACUUGAUGUGCCGAUUAUGAUAAUUGAGCAAUAAGUUGAAAAGUAAAGCAAUCAUUUUUAUUCACUUUCUUGAUCCUGAUAAGUCCAAGAGUAAGGAUGAUUUUAUUCAUAAUUACAAGAAUCUUAGAAUUUGGGAAAAGGAUUGUAUAUGAUUGCAUAUAUGGAACAUUUCUAAUAAUAGAUUGAAGAGAUUUAGGAAAGCCUGAUGGAUGAGGUAGACUAAAGAGAGUUAUGUGGAUUUGGGUGUGGAUAUAAAAUCUUAAAAACUUUUCAUCAUUCUCUGCAAUUUUAGUACUUCAAACAGCUUUGUUAUUCUAAAUAAAUGGUUUAUUUGGAUAUUGUUUGUAGAUAAUUGAAGUCAUAUCGGGUUGAAAGCUAAGUGAUUGUGUAGAGAUUGCCAAGCGAUCGUUGAAAAUUGAAGACUCAGAAGGCAUUUAGGAUUUUUAAUUAUUUAAUUCUUGUAUUAGAAUCUUUUUUCAUGUACUAUUGUAGAAUGUUAAACAUAAUAUUAAGAUUUUAUUUUGUGUAUUCAAAUGUAAAAGACAAAUAUUAUAGUUUUUAACAUAAUAUGAAUUUCAUUGAUUUGUUGGGUGUGAAAAA